CCGGAUUCUGGGAAGGAAUCUCUGCAGAUUUUAGAGAGAAUUCCCCCGUGAUUUUGGGGUGAAUCCCCCCAGAUUUUGGGGUGAAUCCCCCCAGAUUUUGGGGGAAAUCACCCCAGAUUUUGGGGCGGGGUUUCUGCAGAUAUUUUGGGGCGAAUCCCCCCGAUUUCGGGUCACUGUUUCUGCUGCAGCGCCUCCUUGCGCGCCGCGUCCUGCAGCAGCUGCGUGUCCACCUCGUCCGCGGGCAGCUGCACGUAGCGAACCACGGAGCCGCGGAUGAAGCAGUUCU
ensembl:lncRNA